rnacentral:lncRNA from 1 species
AAUGGUGGCCAAUCAUCAAGAUAAUUAGAUAGUUUAAAAUAGUGAUCAAUAAUUCAAAGUGUGCAUGCAAUCAAUCAUAAGCAAUUAAAUAAAAAAUUACAUAUUCAUGCUAAGGCUCAAGGUUUCGCCCUAGCAAAAGGAAUUAGUUACGCAUAUUCAUAAUUGAAAUCAUAGAAAAUAUUAUUACGAAGAAAAGGGAUGAAAACACAUUAAAGUAUAAAAUCUCCAAGAACCCUCGCCAAGUUCUUUGUCUCUGAAGUUGAAUAAUAAUAAGCGUAGAGAAAAAUUGUAGACGGCCAAAGCAAUAUAUUUGCUCCGCCCUCACAAACCCUAAGACAUAGGUUUCUUAUUCCAACUAGGAAACUAAGAAAAAUAAUAAAAUAUCUUAGAAAAUAAAACCCUAAUUACACUAGGAGAAUCUGCCAAGUACUUGUCCAGCCACGUUUUAGCCUCAGAUCUCCUCCAAAUCCGGCCCAAGAUAGCUUGUUUUAAAGAUAAGGACCUUCCGAACACAUCUCCAGAAGGCCACGAAACCAUCCGAGGUCAUCUUGGGCUCCAAAAACGCAAUUUAAGCCCAGAAACGUCAUUUUCCAGCACCGCGCAUCGCUCCUUUAUUUUAUCGCCAGAAAAUAACUACUUGAUGGAAAAAUUCCAAAUUUUGAUACAACCAAGCUAAGUGACUCACGAACGUCUUACAACUAGAAUUACUCCAAAAUUCGUCCAUUUGACCACGUUUUGCUCCAGAGGAAGUCGGAAGUCCUAUAUUGAAAAUACAAUUCAAAGUAUCAAAAUUCUUCCAAAAUACUAACCAAAAUAUACUAAGAAUAGGGUUAAAUAUAUAAUAUAAAAUUCACUUAUCAUGAACCAAUUGGCAGCAUUGAGUAUGGAGCAAGUCCCGCAGAGCUUGAAUUUUAUCAAGAGUGUGAAGAAGGUAAUUAUUUUGUUUUUUAUAAUUUGGUUUAUAACUUUAUAUUAAUUGGUUUACAAUUAACGUUUGUUCUUUAUUGUAGAAUAUAAAAGAAAAAGAGCAAAUACUAUAUCUACAAGUUCAACCACAUCAAGUGUUCUUGAAAUUGAAGCAACUUGAAUGAAUAAAGGAAAAGGAAUUGCGGUAAUAUUUUAAACUCAAAUGAAUAAACUUUAAAUUUCAAUGAUUCAAUUUCAAUGAGGAUAAUAUGAUGUUGGACUUUAAAAAUGUCAUGUUUAUAUUCUAUUUUUGCUUACAGAUUCAAUGAGGAUUGUUGUUGGAACUUGGGCGUUGGAUGUUGAUUUGAAUUUUUUUGUGGAUGUGGUCUUGGACUCUCGGUUUCAGAUGUAUUUUAUGUUGAUUUAAUCUUUAGAUGUUGGAUGAUGCAAUGUUAUUUUGGAUGUAUUUUAUUUGUGCAAUUGCAAUAUGUGCAAUAUUGCAGUCUGUUUUUUUUUUUUUUUUCAAUCUGUGCACUACAAACUGCAAUCUGUGCAAUCUGUUUUGUGCAAACUGCAAUAUGUGUAAACUGGAAUAUGUGCAAUCUGUGCAAACUG